rnacentral:rRNA from 1 species
UACGAAGGGGGCUAGCGUUGCUCGGAAUCACUGGGCGUAAAGCGCACGUAGGCGGAUUGCUAAGUCGGGGGUGAAAUCCUGGAGGUCGACUCCAGAACUGCCUUCGAUACUGGCGAUCUUGAGUCCGGGAGAGGUGAGUGGAACUCCGAGUGUAGAGGUGAAAUUCGUAGAUAUUCGGAAGAACACCAGUGGCGAAGGCGGCUCACUGGCCCGGUACUGACGCUGAUGCGCGAAAGCGUGGGGAGCAAACAGG